GCAGCCUGGGCGGCGGGUCCUGCUUGUGACGGACGGCGGCGUCCGGUCCUGCCCGUGACGGCGGUGGCGGCCGAUCCUGCUUGAAACAGCUGCGGCGGCUGCUCCAGACACCUGCGGCGGCGCCGGCGGCGACCCCGCGGCGGCCGCGAGGAUGUGGCCCCUGGUGGUGGUGCUGCUGCUGCGCUCGGCGUGCUGCGGUUCAGCUCAGCUAAUAUUUAACAUAACCAAAUCUGUAGAAUACACUGCUUGCAACGAAAGUGUUAUCAUCCCAUGCUUUGUUAAUAAUGUGGAGGCAACAAACAUUAAUGAAAUGUAUGUAAAGUGGAAAUUAAAAGGAAAAGACAUUUUCACCUUUAAUGGAGCUCUACAAAAGACCACUCACGGUGAUAACUUUAAGAGUACAAAAAUCAUACCGCAAAAAUUACUAACUGGCAUUGCCUCUUUGGAGAUGGACAAGGCAGAGGCUGUUGUAGGAAACUACACUUGUGAAGUCACCGAACUAAGCAGAGAAGGUGAAACCAUCAUAGAACUAAAAUAUCGAAUUGUUUCAUGGUUUUCUCCAAAUGAAAAUAUCCUCAUUGUUAUUUUCCCAAUUUUGGCUGUACUUCUGUCUUGGGGACAAUUUGGUAUUGUGACAAUUAAAUAUAAAGCCAAUCUCGUGAAGGAGAAGACCAUUCUUUUAUUGGUUGGUGGACUAUUGCUCACUAUAGUUGUCAUUGUCGGAGCCAUUCUUUUCGUCCCAGGUGAAUAUUCAACAAAGAAUUCUUGCGGACUUGGUUUAAUUGUAAUUCCUACAGUGAUAUUAAUAUUACUUCAGUACUGUGUGUUUAUAAUAGGUGUUUGGAUGUCUCCCUUCACCAUUGCCAUAUUAAUCCUUCAGGUACUGGGCUAUGUGCUUUCUGUGGUUGGACUAAGCCUCUGUGUCUCAGAGUGCACCCCAGUGCAUGGCCCUCUUCUGAUUUCAGGUUUGGGUAUUACAGCUCUAGCAGAAUUACUUGGAUUAGUGUAUAUGAAACUUGUUGAAUUCAGAGGCACACCUUCGGUCAGUUGAAGGGCAAGAAGAAAAAAGCUUCCAAUCAGAAGACUAUACAACCUCCUAGGAAAGCUGUAGAGGAGCCCCUUAAUGCAUUUAAAGAAUCAAAAGGAAUGAUGAAUGAUGAGUAACUGAAGUGAAGUGAUGGACUCUGAUUUGGAAAGUAGUAAGACGUGAAAGGAAUACAAUUGUGUUCGAGCACCAUGGCCUUGAUUCACUGUUCAGGAGAAGAAAACAAGAAAAAUAACUGGUUCUCAUCUGUGGAAAAAAGUAAAUCAUUGACCCUUAAAUGAUUAUUGUUGCAGUUAAGUUUUUUUCAAAGCAUUUGUAAUGUAGUUAAUAAAAGAAUUAUUAUCUGUGUUGUGUGCCCAAUUGA